rnacentral:sRNA from 1 species
AAAUUGUUUAUAAUUCUUGGAUUUAAAUAACCUUUGUAAAAUGGUAUUUUUUUCGUCGGGAUUUAUAUUAAAUUUCUUCGAUUUUUUUAAUUUUUUUGUGCCGGUUAAAACCCAAUGGAGUUUAUCGCAAUUUUUGGAUUCCCAUCGAUAUUUUUUGCCGUCGGUACUCUUAUAUGGAUAUUGGUAUCCUUAUAAUAAUUUGCUUUGGUUUAAAUUGCCUUCGCUAAAAUUCUUUUGCGAACCAUUUCCUCCCAUUAUUAUAAUAAUUGGGAUUGGUUUUGGGUUUAAUCGGCUAAAUUUUUCUAAUUAUAUAUAUGCUCCGAAGAUCUUUAAGUAUUUUUUAACGUUUAUAAACGGUUUUCCCAUAACCAUUACCUUAUUUAUUUUGUAAAAUUGGUAAAUCCCCCAGGAAACGGACAUUCGCGCCGCGAUUGCUAACAAUAAAUCGGUAACCCCUAUAAUAUUUUGGAUUUCCGGGAUAUUAUAUAUUUUGGCAAACAUAAAUUUUGUUUGCAUAUUUUAUAUCCAAAUUUCCGGAUUUAUACCUUUUUAUUUAAUUUUGUCAAACUGGUUCCGGUAUUUACGGCGUAUUUUAUUUAUUUCCGUGCUUUCCAGGGGAUUAAUUAAAAAUCGAAGAAUGCGGAGGAAAAAUUAGGUAUCCGCCGUUUGUUUCUGCUGUGCCAUAGCAUUCGCCCGCCUUAUAAAGUUUGCAUUUAUUAAUUUGUUAAUUAUAAAAAAAACGUCGAUAUAAUAUUUGGUUACGUCGGGAAUAAAUAAAGCGAGGGCCACGUUAUCGUACCAUUUUCCGAAUUUCUGGUAUAUUGUUAAUUCUUCGUCGAAUUCGCUAUUAAUAUCCAAAUUCAGGCGUUUUCUCCACAUUACCUUCUUUGCUGCAGGGGUUCUGGAAAAAGGGUUUUUGGUGGCUUUAAUAUAAAUGGGGUUGGGUGCAUCCUCGGUUAAAAAGUUAAUUAAAACCCAAAUAUAACGUUUCCUAAUUGCGGUUUUAAUGGAUAAAUACCAUUCCGGCCAUUUUUUCGCUGUGCGCAAAAUAACAGUGGCAAAUUCAAUUUUUUUUUCGGAAAGGUAAAAUAUUAUAAGUGAAUUUGUGGUUUGCGGAUAUAUAGUAAGGAAAAACGUUUAAUGGUAAAUAUUAAAGGAAUAUAGUGCGUAAAUAGGCUAUAUAAUUUGUAAAUAAGGUAAACGAUUUAUAAAACCUUUGGAUUAAACGUCUUCCGGGCUUAUAAUUGUUAUAAACGUUGUUUUUAUUAAAUUUAUUUAAACGAAUAUAUUUAUUUGGUUGGAUUUAUAUAAUCGAACAGAUUUUGGUACAAUACCAGUUUAAUUCUAGGAAAAUAAAAUAAAAAAAUGUCGUGCGCGUUACAAAGUUGUGUUUGAGUAAGGAAACGCGUCAAGUUGAGUAAAUAAAUGUCAGGUGUUUGACAAAGCGCGGAAUUAAAGCCGCUGCUAAUGAUUUAGUUGCAUUUAGCCCAAUUUAAGCUCAGUGUGGCUAAUUGUUUUGUUUAAGGUUGGAAUGCACGCCUUUGUGAUUAAUUGCGGUGGUUUAGUACGCGACAUAUAUUAUUUAAUUAACCGUUGAAUAAAUUCUUCUGCAAAAGAAAUUUCCACCGGUAUAUAAUAAUAAAAUAAUAAAAUAAUAAAACUAAUUUAACGUUUAAAAACUUUUAUUAUAUUUACUAUUUUUAUAAUUUGCAAAAUAUUUUGAAAUUAUAAAUACCAAAGAUAAAAAUAUAAAAUUAGUUACGAGCGAAUUAAAUUUUAAAUUUACAAUUUGUAAAAAUUAUUUAUUAUAAAUUAUUUGCAUUAUAGAAUUAUUUCAUGACGGUAAAUUAGUCGGUCCGUAUUAUUUAAAUAAAUAUAUCUUGCAAAAUAAAAGCGCUAUUACGACCAGAUAGUUGGGCCGGUACCAGAAAGGCCAGGUGGGGCUACACCCCUCCUGACGAUAUUUGUCCAAAGAAAUUACCGGCCGGUAGAAAGAGGAUUAUAUAAAGGAAGGAACACGUAAUAUUACGUAAUCGCCAAAAGGGAUAUAAUUAAUAUAUCGCAUAUUAAAUAUAGCAAAACAAAUAAUAUAUCGGUUAUAAAAUAUAUUAAAUAUAUUAUAUUCGGGACAUAAUUUAUAUAAAAUAUUUUUAUUAUUAUAUAAAAAAAUUCGAUUUUAGAAUUGUUUAGCAGCAAUGAAAUUUUAAUAAAUUCUAAUAUUUAUUUAAAAACGAUUAUAAU